rnacentral:rRNA from 1 species
GAAGGGGGGACGGAGAAGGCUAUGUCGGCCGGGCGACGGUUGUCCCGGUUUAAGCGUGUAGGUGUGUGUUCCAGGUAAAUCCGGUUCACUUUAACACUGAGGCGUGAUGACGAGGUACUACGGUGCUGAAGUGACAAAUGCCCUGCUUCCAGGAAAAGCCUCUAAGCAUCAGGUAACACGAAAUCGUACCCCAAACCGACACAGGUGGUCAGGUAGAGAAUACCAAGGCGC